rnacentral:lncRNA from 1 species
UAAAGAAUAAUAACCCAAUAAAUAAAUUUAAACAACAAAAAUAAGUGUUAAAUAUAUUUUUCUCCUGCAAUGUGAUUGAGUUUUGAUUUACCCCCUCCUGUAAAUUAUUAUUUUUGAAUUCCUCUUUGUAAUGUAAAGACUUUGUUACUUUGACCUCUUAGGUAACAACUUAGCAAAAAAUCAUCGAUUUUGUUGGCGUGGCCUAUCUAGCUGGUUUUUU